rnacentral:rRNA from 1 species
UUAGAGUUUGAUCAUGGCUCAGAUUGAACGCUGGCGGCAUGCCUUACACAUGCAAGUCGAACGGCAGCACGGGAGCAAUCCUGGUGGCGAGUGGCGAACGGGUGAGUAAUACAUCGGAACGUGCCCAGUAGUGGGGGAUAACCCGGCGAAAGCCGGACUAAUACCGCAUACGACCUACGGGUGAAAGCAGGGGAUCGCAAGACCUUGCGCUAUCGGAGCGGCCGAUGUCAGAUUAGCUUGUUGGCGGGAUAAAAGCCCACCAAGGCGACGAUCUGUAGCUGGUCUGAGAGGACGACCAGCCACACUGGGACUGAGACACGGCCCAGACUCCUACGGGAGGCAGCAGUGGGGAAUUUUGGACAAUGGGCGCAAGCCUGAUCCAGCCAUGCCGCGUGCGGGAAGAAGGCCUUCGGGUUGUAAACCGCUUUUGUCAGGGAAGAAAAGCUCUAGGCUAAUACCUUGGAGUCAUGACGGUACCUGAAGAAUAAGCACCGGCUAACUACGUGCCAGCAGCCGCGGU